rnacentral:sRNA from 1 species
GCGGCCGCACCACCUAAGGCCUGUUCAGAGCAGCAAGAUUGCCAGUGACCACCGAGCUGAAUUCGCACGCUGUCUGGAGCCACUGCUGCUGCUGGGGCCACGUCGGGUGGCAGCUGCUGCAAGUGGUGCUAACAUUAGGAAAGAUGUCGGGGUCACCCGUCCAAAAGCCCACGCUGCGCCGGUCCAUCAGCACCAAGGUGCUGCUGGCGGAGGGCGAGAACACGCCCUUCACAGAGCACUGCCGCCACUAUGAGGACUCCUACCGG